GAUGAACGCUGGCGGCGUGCUUAACACAUGCAAGUCGAACGAUGAAGCCCAGCUUGCUGGGUGGAUUAGUGGCGAACGGGUGAGUAACACGUGAGUAACCUGCCCUUAACUCUGGGAUAAGCCUGGGAAACUGGGUCUAAUACCGGAUAGGAGCGUCCACCGCAUGGUGGGUGUUGGAAAGAUUUAUCGGUUUUGGAUGGACUCGCGGCCUAUCAGCUUGUUGGUGAGGUAAUGGCUCACCAAGGCGACGACGGGUAGCCGGCCUGAGAGGGUGACCGGCCACACUGGGACUGAGACACGGCCCAGACUCCUACGGGAGGCAGCAGUGGGGAAUAUUGCACAAUGGGCGCAAGCCUGAUGCAGCGACGCCGCGUGAGGGAUGACGGCCUUCGGGUUGUGAACCUCUUUCAGUAGGGAAGAAGCGAAAGUGACGGUACCUGCAGAAGAAGCACCGGCUAACUACGUG
rnacentral:rRNA from 1 species